UGGCGGCAGGCUUAACACAUGCAAGUCGAGCGGGCGUAGCAAUACGUCAGCGGCAGACGGGUGAGUAACGCGUGGGAACGUACCUUUUGGUUCGGAACAACACAGGGAAACUUGUGCUAAUACCGGAUAAGCCCUUACGGGGAAAGAUUUAUCGCCGAAAGAUCGGCCCGCGUCUGAUUAGCUAGUUGGUGAGGUAAUGGCUCACCAAGGCGACGAUCAGUAGCUGGUCUGAGAGGAUGAUCAGCCACAUUGGGACUGAGACACGGCCCAAACUCCUACGGGAGGCAGCAGUGGGGAAUAUUGGACAAUGGGGGCAACCCUGAUCCAGCCAUGCCGCGUGAGUGAUGAAGGCCCUAGGGUUGUAAAGCUCUUUUGUGCGGGAAGAUAAUGACGGUACCGCAAGAAUAAGCCCCGGCUAACUUCGUGCCAGCAGCCGCGGUAAUACGAAGGGGGCUAGCGUUGCUCGGAAUCACUGGGCGUAAAGGGUGCGUAGGCGGGUCUUUAAGUCAGGGGUGAAAUCCUGGAGCUCAACUCCAGAACUGCCUUUGAUACUGAAGAUCUUGAGUCCGGGAGAGGUGAGUGGAACUGCGAGUGUAGAGGUGAAAUUCGUAGAUUUUCGCAAGAACACCAGUGGCGAAGGCGGCUCACUGGCCCGGUACUGACCCUUAGGCACGAAAGCGUGGGGAGCAAACAGGAUUAGAUACCCUGGUAGUCCCCGCCGUAAACGAUGAAUGCCACCCCUUAGUGGGUUUACUCCCUAAUGGGGCACCUAACGCUUUAAGCAUUCCCCCCGGGGAAUACGGUCCCAAAAUUAAAACUCCAAGGGAUUGACGGGGGCCCCCCCAAACGGUGGAACAGGGGGUUUUAUUCCACCCCACGCGAAAAACUUUUCCAGCCCUUGAAAUUUCCGGGACCGG
rnacentral:rRNA from 1 species